rnacentral:rRNA from 1 species
UACGGAGGGUGCGAGCGUUGUCCGGAAUCACUGGGCGUAAAGGGCGCGUAGGCGGCCUGAUAAGUAGGGGGUGAAAUCCUGCGGCUUAACCGCAGGGCUGCCUUCUAAACUGUCAGGCUAGAGCACAGUAGAGGCAGGUGGAAUUCCCGGUGUAGCGGUGGAAUGCGUAGAUAUCGGGAGGAACACCAGUGGCGAAGGCGGUUGCCUGGAGCUUUGCUGACGCUGAGGCGCGAAAGCCAGGGGAGCAAACGGG